rnacentral:rRNA from 1 species
AAUAGAUACCCAGGUAGUCCACGCCGUAAACGAUGAGUGCUAAGUGUUAGAGGGCUUCCACCCUUUAGUGCUGCAGCUAACGCAUUAAGCACUCCGCCUGGGGAGUACGGCCGCAAGGCUGAAACUCAAAGGAAUUGACGGGGGCCCGCACAAGCGGUGGAGCAUGUGGUUUAAUUCGAAGCAACGCGAAGAACCUUACCAGGUCUUGACAUCCUUCGCUACCUCUAGAGAUAGAGGGUUCCCCUUCGGGGGACGGAGUGACAGGUGGUGCAUGGUUGUCGUCAGCUCGUGUCGUGAGAUGUUGGGUUAAGUCCCGCAACGAGCGCAACCCUUGACCUUAGUUGCCAGCAUUCAGUUGGGCACUCUAAGGUGACUGCCGGUGACAAACCGGAGGAAGGUGGGGAUGACGUCAAAUCAUCAUGCCCCUUAUGACCUGGGCUACACACGUGCUACAAUGGAUGGUACAAAGGGUCGCGAAACCGCGAGGUGGAGCCAAUCCCAAAAAACCAUUCUCAGUUCGGAUUGCAGGCUGC